UACGUAGGAUCCAAGCGUUGUCCGGAUUUACUGGGUGUAAAGGGUGCGCAGGCGGACUUGUUAGUCAGAGGUGAAAUCUCACUGCUCAACAGUGAAACUGCCUUUGAUACUGCAGGUCUUGAAUCCAGAAGAGAGUUGUGGAAUUCCGAGUGUAGCAGUGAAAUGUGUAGAUAUUCGGAAGAACACCAGCGGCGAAGGCAGCAACUUGGUCUGGUAUGACGCUCAGGCACGAAAGCAUGGGGAUCAA
rnacentral:rRNA from 1 species